AUCGGCCAUAAACCGUUUGUGGUGCAAAAUCCAGGAACUGACACACGUUGAAGUAGAGCGACAUCUUGCGCUGGAAAGAAGAUAUUACAGAUAAUGAUGCAAGCAGGAUUUUAUCCAGCUGUGGUGGCAGGCCUUUUACACAGAUCUACCAACUACCUAUGGGAUUUUUUCCAAUGACAAAUGUCAUGAACGCUGUAUUACAAGUCGAGAUCGCAUUUAUGUAAUACGAGCAUGCCAAUCUUUUUGCUUGUGCUCUGAUUUUUUUCUUUGUGCACACAACUUCUUGCACGGCCUUAAAUAUACGCUGCUCAAGCACAGAUUUUCUUGUGCACUCUCAAAUAAAUGCGACUAAAGUACAAUUUAGUGCAUUUAUGUGACAAGUAUGUCUACUAGAUUUAUUAGAUAUGCUAGGAAUAUGUAGGUCUCUAUUAGACCUACAAAAUAGUAUUGAUGCGUCCUAAAGUAAAGUGAAGCAGCCAUAAACUCCAUGUCAUUGUAUGAAGAACCAUAGACCCUUAUCUUUAAAUAAAGUAUAAUUUUGGACACUGUGUUCAUCAUAAUUAAAA